GCCCCGGUAGCCCAAUUGGCAGAGGCGGUUGACUCAAAAUCAGCACAGUGCGGGUUCAAGUCCCGCCCGGGGCA
rnacentral:tRNA from 1 species